GCCGGGCACAGUGGUGCAUGUUUGUAGUCCCAGCUAUUUGGGAGGCUGAGGCUGGAGGAUCUUGAGUCCAGGAGUUCUGGGCAGUACUGCGUGCCGAUUGGGUGUCCGCACUAAGUUCAGCAUCAAUAUGGUGACCUCCCGGCAGUGGGGGACCACCAGGAUGCCUAAGGAGGGGUGAACCGGCCCAGGUUGGAAACGGAGCAGUUCAAAACUCCCAUGCUGAUCAGUAGUGGGAUCGUGCCUGUGAAUAGCCACUGCACUCCAGCCUGGGCAACAUAGCAAGACCCUGUCUCU
rnacentral:SRP_RNA from 1 species